rnacentral:rRNA from 1 species
GUAGGGAAUAUUGGGCAAUGGUCGGAAGACUGACCCAGCCAUGCCGCGUGCAGGAAGACGGCCCUCUGGGUUGUAAACUGCUUUUAUCUGGGAAGAAAAAGGCCAUGCGUGGCAAAUUGCCGGUACCAGAUGAAUAAGCACCGGCUAACUCCGUGCCAGCAGCCGCGGUAAUACGGAGGGUGCGAGCGUUGUCCGGAUUUAUUGAGUUUAAAGGGUGCGUAGGCGGCUGAUUAAGUCAGCGGUGAAAGACUUCGGCUUAACCGGAGCAGUGCCGUUGAUACUGGUGGGCUUGAGUGUCGGAGGGGUACAUGGAAUUGAUGGUGUAGCGGUGAAAUGCAUAGAUACCAUCAGGAACACCGAUAGCGAAGGCAUUGUACUGGCCGACAACUGACGCUGAUGCACGAAAGUGUGGGGAUCGAACAGGAUUAGAUACCCGUGUAGUCC